rnacentral:rRNA from 1 species
UGCCUAACACAUGCAAGUCAAACGGCUUUGUUUGAAAAAGCAAGUGCAGUGACGGACGGGUGAGUAAAGUGUGAGAAUUGACAUUCAGGUGGGGGAUAACAAUUGGAAACGUUUGCUAAUACCCCAUAGUGCUGUUAAGUGAAAGAGUUUUCGCCUGAAUACAAGCUCGCAUCUGAUUAGCUAGUUGGUUGGGUAAUGGCUUACCAAGGCAACGAUCAGUAGCUGGUUUGAGAAGAUGAUCAGCCACACUGGGACUGAGACACGGAACAGACUCCUACGGGAGGCAGCAGUGAGGAAUUUUCCGCAAUGAGUGAAAGCUUGACGGAGCAAUGCCGCGUGGAGGUGAGACAGCCUUAGGGUUUUAAACUCC